UAUAGAAGUAUACCUUGUAUAGUAUUCUUUUUUAUCUUCUUUAUCAUAAGUUCACCUCCCUCAAUGAACGACGAAGACCUAUAUUCACUUUAUUAAAUUUUUAUUAAAUUAACAACGAGAUCUAUUAUCAUUUCUCGCAUGUCCUCGGAAAUUUAUAGUGGGUGCAAAUUCUCCCAAUUUGUGACCUACCAUACGAUCUGUUAUAAAAAUAGGCAAAUGUUCCUUGCCAUUAUGAAUAGCAAUUGUAUGGCCGAUCAUUGUAGGUAUAAUGGUAGAUGCUCGGGACCAAGUUAUUAUUAUCUCUUUUUCUGC